GACGAACGCUGGCGGCGUGCUUAACACAUGCAAGUCGAACGGAAAGGCCCUGCUUUUGUGGGGUGCUCGAGUGGCGAACGGGUGAGUAACACGUGAGUAACCUGCCCUUGACUUUGGGAUAACUUCAGGAAACUGGGGCUAAUACCGGAUAGGAGCUCCCGCUGCAUGGUGGGGGUUGGAAAGUUUCGACGGUUGGGGAUGGACUCGCGGCUUAUCAGCUUGUUGGUGGGGUAGUGGCUUACCAAGGCUUUGACGGGUAGCCGGCCUGAGAGGGUGACCGGCCACAUUGGGACUGAGAUACGGCCCAGACUCCUACGGGAGGCAGCAGUGGGGAAUAUUGCACAAUGGGCGGAAGCCUGAUGCAGCAACGCCGCGUGCGGGAUGACGGCCUUCGGGUUGUAAACCGCUUUCGCCUGUGACGAAGCGUGAGUGACGGUAAUGGGUAAAGAAGCACCGGCUAACUACGUG
rnacentral:rRNA from 1 species